UACGAAGGGGGCUAGCGUUGUUCGGAAUCACUGGGCGUAAAGGGCGCGUAGGCGGCUUUAUAAGUCGGGGGUGAAAGCCUGUGGCUCAACCACAGAACUGCCUUCGAUACUGGAAAGCUCGAGUCCGGGAGAGGUGAGUGGAACUGCGAGUGUAGAGGUGAAAUUCGUAGAUAUUCGCAAGAACACCAGUGGCGAAGGCGGCUCACUGGCCCGGUACUGACGCUGAGGUGCGAAAGCGUGGGGAGCAAACAGG
rnacentral:rRNA from 1 species